rnacentral:rRNA from 1 species
UACGUAGGUGGCAAGCGUUGUCCGGAAUUACUGGGCGUAAAGCGCGUGUAGGCGGCUUAUUAAGUCGGACGUGAAAUCCCUUGGCUUAACCAAGGAACUGCGUCCGAUACUGCUAAGCUUGAGUGUCGGAGGGGGUGGCGGAAUUCCCGGUGUAGAGGUGAAAUUCGUAGAUAUCGGGAGGAACACCUGUGGCGAAGGCGGCCACCUGGAAGACAACUGACGCUGAGACGCGAAAGCGUGGGGAGCAAACAGG